rnacentral:lncRNA from 1 species
UCUGGAAAUUGAAAUGUAAAGGGGAGCUUCUGGUCUUGAUUUCGAUUGAUUUUUAAAGGGAUGAUGAGGAACUAAGGAGGACUGCAUGAAGCAGCAGGUCAUUGAGACUAUUGUCUCCGCAGAAAUGGUGCAAGGAACUGCCAGAAAAGAAGAUGGGUAUUCCUAAUCCAGUAGCGAUCAAGCAGGUUCAAUUGACAAUGGAGGAACGUAGAGUUUGAACAACCCAUUUCAAAUAUGUACUGGUUACCUCUAUUAAUGUUAGGUUCUCCAUAACUAGUUACAAAAGAAAAGGAGUCAUUUUCGCUGACAAGUAUUUGCCAAUAUAGGGUCGGGCUUUUUCCUCAGUGGACAUAUACGAUUUUGCUAGUUCAUACCAACUUGCUGUGGUUCAAUUUGAGAGUAGCUCCAUUUGUUCUCUGCUAUGUUGGAGAUAUUCAUUAAAUCAUGUCUAAUUGAAAAUUGAAGUAAAAAACCAUGAUGAAAACAAUAUGACCUGUGCCAAGGUUCAAGAUAGUUUUCAUUUUCAUUAAUGGUUUGAUUAUUUUCAUUAUAUUGUGUUGGCAAAAGGAGAGUCACAGACUGUUCUUAGUUGGCGAAAUGUGUAAUGAGUGUUAUCUUUCAUUUGGUUGUAGCUAGGUUUAACCUAUUAGGUUAGUACCCUGAGGACCUGAGGUUCUAUAUUCUAGGUGAUUGAUUGUUCUGUGAUGGUAAAAUUCUUACAAGCUAUUCAUUAUUUUAUUUAUUUUUCUAUUUGCUGUUGAAUGAAUCAUCAGCUGAGCAAGCUCAGCGUGGUAUCUACUGUGAUUUUAGAUGUUACUUGAGCAAACUGAUGUUGGGUAAGCUUCUCAUCCAUUCGAGUCUGCACAACAGUAGAUAGAUAAAGCAGAGUGAAAGACAGAGAAGAGGCCAAGGUGUGCGACCUACAGAGAGGCAACAUGGGCUCCAUCUGUAAGACACUGAUCACAUCAGUAUAUAUAUGGACAUAUUUGGAAGAAUGAUUAUUGGAUGGAAUUGUCGGAAUGAUCUAGUGUUGGAACACGAAGAAUAGGCUCGUGGAAAAUAGUCGUACAUGCACAGGAUACCAUAUGACUUAAGUGAAGUCUUCUGUUCUAUGCCUGUAAUGCUGUCAACAAUUUUAGUUUCCUUUGUGUUUGUCAAAUAGUCAAUCAAUCAACUUCC